rnacentral:rRNA from 1 species
UACAGAGGGUGCAAGCGUUGUUCGGAAUUAUUGGGCGUAAAGGGCGCGUAGGCGGCCCCGCAAGUCGACUGUGAAAUCUCCGGGCUUAACUCGGAAAGGUCAGCCGAUACUGCGGGGCUAGAGUGCAGAAGGGGCAACUGGAAUUCUCGGUGUAGCGGUGAAAUGCGUAGAUAUCGAGAGGAACACCUGCGGCGAAGGCGGGUUGCUGGGCUGACACUGACGCUGAUGCGCGAAAGCUAGGGGAGCGAACGGG